rnacentral:rRNA from 1 species
UGGGGAAUAUUGCACAAUGGGCGCAAGCCUGAUGCAGCCAUGCCGCGUGUGUGAAGAAGGCCUUCGGGUUGUAAAGCACUUUCAGUCGUGAGGAAGGUAGUGUAGUUAAUAGCUGCAUUAUUUGACGUUAGCGACAGAAGAAGCACCGGCUAACUCCGUGCCAGCAGCCGCGGUAAUACGGAGGGUGCGAGCGUUAAUCGGAAUUACUGGGCGUAAAGCGCAUGCAGGUGGUUUGUUAAGUCAGAUGUGAAAGCCCGGGGCUCAACCUCGGAAUUGCAUUUGAAACUGGCAGACUAGAGUACUGUAGAGGGGGGUAGAAUUUCAGGUGUAGCGGUGAAAUGCGUAGAGAUCUGAAGGAAUACCGGUGGCGAAGGCGG